rnacentral:lncRNA from 1 species
CAGCAUUUCUUGUCACAGUGUUAUCUAAUUUUUUGAAUGGUGAUAUAACAAUAUAAUUUUUCUACAGGGCCAAAAUGGGGAACCUGGUGGGAAAGGAGAAAGAGGCCCCCCUGGUCUAAGAGGAGAGGCUGGACCCCCUGGAGCAGCUGGUCCACAGGGUGGCCCUGGUGCCCCAGGUCCACCUGGUCCUCAAGGAAUAAAGGGAGACCGUGGAUCUCCUGGCGGGCCUGGUGCUGCUGGUUUCCCAGGUGCUCGUGGUCUACCUGGUCCCCCUGGUAACAAUGU